GACGGAGGGUGCAAGCGUUGCUCGGAAUCACUGGGCGUAAAGGGUGCGUAGGCGGCUUCUCAAGUCAGGGGUGAAACCCUGGAGCUCAACUCCAGAACUGCCUUUGAUACUGAGGGGCUCGAGUCCGGGAGAGGUGAGUGGAACUGCGAGUGUAGAGGUGAAAUUCGUAGAUAUUCGCAAGAACACCAGUGGCGAAGGCGGCUCACUGGCCCGGUACUGACGCUGAGGUGCGAAAGCGUGGGGAGCAAACAGG
rnacentral:rRNA from 1 species